GAGACGAGGCCUGGCCAGGAUCUAGCGGAGAUGUCUAGUGAACUGCCCAUGGACUCUGUGCCCAGCACCACUCCAAAAUUAUUCGCUACCUUCAAAGAAACAGGGCACUGCUCAGCCUGUUAGUUUCUGUCCCAGCCUCUUACACAGAUGUAUGCUGCAGCCAGCCCAGCUCAGAAGGCAGUGCGGACAGAUGAUCUCAUCCCGUCAAACCAAGCAAUACGGGUCCCAUUGAGGCUUAGAUGGAAGAUCCCAUUCAUCUCCU